UCUUAACAGCAUGCUUUCUGGGACCACCCAUGUUGCAAAUGGAAUGAUCUAUAGUGAUCCAAAAUAUUGGCAUCUUCUGGUGUCCUUCACGCAUUUGCAAUGACCAGUUCUUCAUGACCAAAUUAAAGCAGGAGUGCCUGGAAACACAGAUAAGGUAAAUGUUUGUCCUUGUCGGCUUAGUGCUAGGAGCAAAUUAGGGUAGUAAGCAGACUUCCUCAAACCUAAGUGCUAUCGAUGGAAUGAUGCCUCCUAAGUUUGUGUUCAACUCUGACCCCUGUAUGAUGGUAUUAGGAGGUAUGUGAGCGGUGCUGUCGCUGCUCUUGUGUCCCCUGUGUGGGAUGCUAUGGGCUGAGAACCUGUCUGUCUGUCUCUCUCCCCACUCUCUGAGGGAGAGUGUGAUAGACCAUCCCUGAAUGCACUACCAGGGUGCACGUGGAUUCUUU
rnacentral:lncRNA from 1 species